rnacentral:rRNA from 1 species
AUACGGAGGGUGCGAGCGUUAAUCGGAAUUACUGGGCGUAAAGCGCGCGUAGGCGGAUAAUUAAGUCAGAUGUGAAAUCCCCGGGCUCAACCUGGGAACUGCAUUUGAUACUGAUUAACUAGAGUAUGGUAGAGGUGAGUGGAAUUUCCGGUGUAGCGGUGAAAUGCGUAGAGAUCGGAAGGAACACCAGUGGCGAAGGCGACUCACUGGGCCAUUACUGACGCUGAGGUGCGAAAGCGUGGGUAGCAAACAGGAUUAGAUACCCUAGUAGUCC